GCGGCGGCCCUGGAUAAAAGGCAGUGCUGGGUCUGCCCCCUGAUGACAAAGAGACCACCUCCGCCACACCUUCCGCGCAGGCUGGGUGACCCUGCAAAAAGCACGGAAUGUAGGAAACCCAGAUCGUAACCGUUUCCACCCUGGAGCGACCAAAUGAGGAAGCUGGCAAAGCAGUUGUUUCACAAGAAGUUUUGGGAAUCUGCAGCAUGGGAAAGUCGGACCUUACAGUUUCACAUGGGCUAAAGAGGAAAGGGGAAAGAAUGCAAAGGACAGACGUAUGUCUACAGGCCUUGGCAUGAAUAACCUGGUGGCACAAUCUGGAUGCCCAGGAAGCUUCUGGUUCCCACGUUUGGGGGCAUAACAGUUCGCUUCAAACCCCUAAUUGCUCUGCACUCACGUGGCACAGAAAGAGGCCAGGAAGGACCCACUGCAAAGGAGAGAAGCAGAAGCUGAACUGGCGUUCCGUGCACCGCCUGGUCCCACCCCAAGCUCCCGAGGCUGGGGCGUCCGGGGAGCCAUGCCCCGAGCAGACAGACCGCCCCUGGAGGCAUGAUGGAGGGACUUAACCUUGAUGAAUGGCCGAUGAGUUGCUGCUCAGACCUAUCCUAUUCUACCAAGUCCCCAGUCCCAUUUCUGCAAGGUCUCUCUGCCACACACCGUAAUAAGCAACAAUUUAACCAUAAGCAGACUUGAGAAUUAACUACAAAAUAAGAAGGGACUA